rnacentral:lncRNA from 1 species
AACUUUCCCGAUAAGUGUUUUUUUUUUUCUAAAUUACAGAAAACUUUCACGUCAGUACCUAUUUUUUUACUUUUCCUCCUGUCAUUCAAAAAUCUACACUUUAUUUUUUAAAAAAUAAAAAAAUAUUCACUUUUACCUCUACCGUCAGUAUUCCGUUAAGAUUCUACUUAUAUCCUAUUUUUUAUACUCAGAAUACUCCUAAAAUUCUCCUCCUUUCUCAUCCUUGGUCGCGCCACUUCAUCCCCGCCCACCUUUCUGUCCAUGCCCACACACAAGCUGUCGCCCGCCUCCAUUGCCUCGCCCUCGCCCUAGCUCUCCCUCCUCUCCGUCCAUGCCCACCUCGAAGAAGAUGAGAGACAAUUUAGUCAUUUUAUCACAGUGUACCCUUUUGUGAAUAUUUUUUAUUUUUUAAGAGGGUAUAUAAAAUAUAGGAUUUUGAAUUACAGAGGAAAAGUGAAAAAGCGGGUAUUGCAAGAAGGUUUUCUGUAAUUUAACCUAUUUUUGGUCAACUUCAAAUACCACUCCUGUGGUUUUGCACUUUCUCACUUUAGUAUCUUGUGAUUGAAAAUGUAUUAAUUUAGUACCCUGUGGUUUUAUUUUUCUCUUUUCGUCAGCCACUUCGUUAAUUUUUCAUUAAAUCAUAUACAAAAACUUUUAAAUAUCCAACCUAUAGUUUAUUGAAAAUUUACUUUAUUACCCUUUAGUUUUAAUUUUGUCACUGAUUUAACGAAAAAAAUUAGUGAAGGGGAUAGCAAAAAAAAAAAAAAAUCACAAGGUACGAAAAUGAUACACUUUAAACCAUAUGGUACUAAAAUGAAAAAGUGUGAAACUAUAAGGGUGGUAUUGAAAGUUUUUUCUUUUUUUCGCAUUGCUGGUAAGUUGGUCGGCAUCCUGCCUACAUAAACAAGCGCCCAACAUUAUAUCUGUAUGUUUUAAGCUAGUUUUUGCGCAGAUUACAUUUUCGGUUCUCAAACUAUAAAGUCGCUUGAUAUUCAUUUAUUGUAAAUUUUUAAUUGAAUUUCGUAAAAUUAUUAUAAUCAAGUCUGACAAGCUAAUUUAAUUGAGAAGUAAUAUAGAAGUAUUGUGAUUGAUGAUGAUGCGAUAAUAAUUACUUAUUUUUUUUACUGUUGGUAUGUAGGUCAGCAUCUAGUCUACAUGAACGAGAGUUGAAUGCUGUGCCUGCAUGUUUUAAGUUAGUUUAUAGAUAAACUACACUUUUGUAUCCUCAAACUAUAAGGUGCGUGAAACUUAAUGUAGUCAUCAAACUUUAAAUUAUUACAAUUAUUGACUCAAACUUUUUUGAAGUAUUGUAAUCAACCCACAGCCUAAUUUAGUCAGCUAAACAUUGACUAUAUUGCUGAUGUUAAGCAAUAUAACAUCUUAGUUAUUAUCGUAUCAUCAAUCGCAAUAUUUCCACAUUGCUCUACGUCAACAAUUUAUUAACGUUCGAAUCCUAGGUGGUAUCCGAGGGCAAGUGGCAAAGGACUUGGUAUCCGAGAUUCCAAGUUCAAAUCCUAGUUGAUUCACAUUUCAAGCUACGUUUAUUUCUAAAUGAAAUAAAUGAAGCGGGUAAUGUACUACCUAUUUCUCAAAAAAUAAUAAUAAUAAUAAUAAUUUAUCAACGUUUAGCAAACUAAAUUGGAUUGCAUAACUUUAUUAUCGAGCCAGCAAUUAUAAUAAAUUAAAAUUUGAAGGCUAAGUAUUACACACUCUAUAAUUUGAGAACCAAAAGUGUUAAUGUUAGUUUUUUUAUUUAUUAAAUAUUUCUAUAUGAUACUAAUUGAAGAAUUUUCAGAAAUUCUUAAUUUGGUUAGGGAAAAAAAUUAAAAUUUUAAAUUCUUUGCUUGCAAGCAACCAAAAUAAUUAUUUUAAAAUUCUUUCAUUUGCUUUUUAAAAUAAAAUAAAAUAAAAUAAAAUUUCAGUGUAAUAAGUGUGAUUAUUAUUAUUAUUAUUAUUAU